rnacentral:rRNA from 1 species
UACGUAGGGGGCAAGCGUUGUCCGGAAUCAUUGGGCGUAAAGAGCGUGUAGGCGGCCCGGUAAGUCCGCUGUUAAAGUCCAGGGCUCAACCCUGGGAUGCCGGUGGAUACUGUCGGGCUCGAGUCCGGAAGAGGAGUGUGGAAUUCCUGGUGUAGCGGUGAAAUGCGCAGAUAUCAGGAGGAACACCAAUGGCGAAGGCAGCACUCUGGGACGUGACUGACGCUGAGACGCGAAAGCGUGGGGAGCAAACAGG